rnacentral:rRNA from 1 species
CCUACGUGAGGCAGCAGUGGGGAAUAUUGGGCAAUGGAGGCAACUCUGACCCAGCAACGCCGCGUGAGUGAUGAAGGUCUUCGGAUUGUAAAACUCUUUAAGUGGGGACGAAGAACGUGUCUGUACCCACAGAAUAAGCCUCGGCUAACUACGUGCCAGCAGCCGCGGUAAUACGUCGGCGGCAAGCGUUAUCCGGAAGGACUGGUCGUAAAGGGUGCGUAGGUGGUUUGGCAAGUUAGUAGCGUAAUUCCGGGGCUCAACUUCGGAACUACUACUAAAACUGCUGGGCUUGAGUGCAGGAGUGGCAGAGGGAAUUCCUAGUGUAGCGGUGGAAUGCGUAGAUAUUAGGAGGAACACCAGUGGCGAAGGCGAUAUGCUGGACUGUAACUGACACUGAGGCACGAAAGCGUGGGGAGCGAACAGGAUUAGAUACCCUAGUAGUC